rnacentral:rRNA from 1 species
CACAUGCAGUCUAGCGGUAGCACAGAUAGCUUGCUCUCGGGUGACUAGCGGCGGACGGGUGAGUAAUGUCUGGGAAACUGCCUGAUGGAGGGGGAUAACUACUGAGACACGAUAGCUAAUACCGCAUAAUGUCCCAACACCAACGUGGGGGACCUUCGGGCCUCAUGCCAUCAAAUGUGCCCAUAUGGGAUUACCUAUUAUCUGUGGUAACGCCUCACCUAAGCGACGAUCCCUAGCUGGUCUGAGAUGACCACCGACCCCACUGCAACUGAAACCCCGCCCAUACCCCUACUGCUAGGCGUCGA